GGCGGACGGGUGAGUAACGCGUGGGAAUAUGCCCUUCUCUACGGAAUAGUCCUGGGAAACUGGGGGUAAUACCGUAUACGCCCUUUGGGGGAAAGAUUUAUCGGGGAAGGAUUAGCCCGCGUUGGAUUAGGUAGUUGGUGGGGUAAUGGCCUACCAAGCCGACGAUCCAUAGCUGGUUUGAGAGGAUGAUCAGCCACACUGGGACUGAGACACGGCCCAGACUCCUACGGGAGGCAGCAGUGGGGAAUCUUAGACAAUGGGGGCAACCCUGAUCUAGCCAUGCCGCGUGAGUGAUGAAGGCCUUAGGGUUGUAAAGCUCUUUCAGCUGGGAAGAUAAUGACGGUACCAGCAGAAGAAGCCCCGGCUAACUCCGUGCCAGCAGCCGCGGUAAUACGGAGGGGGCUAGCGUUGUUCGGAAUUACUGGGCGUAAAGCGCACGUAGGCGGAUCGGAAAGUUGGGGGUGAAAUCCCGGGGCUCAACCUCGGAACUGCCUUCAAAACUACUGGUCUUGAGUU
rnacentral:rRNA from 1 species